rnacentral:rRNA from 1 species
ACGAUGGAUAGGGGUUCUGAGAGGAAGGUCCCCCACAUUGGAACUGAGACACGGUCCAAACUCCUACGGGAGGCAGCAGUGAGGAAUAUUGGUCAAUGGUCGGCAGACUGAACCAGCCAAGUCGCGUGAGGGAAGACGGCCCUACGGGUUGUAAACCUCUUUUGUCGGAGAGUAAAGUACGCUACGCGUAGUGUAUUGCAAGUAUCCGAAGAAAAAGCAUCGGCUAACUCCGUGCCAGCAGCCGCGGUAAUACGGAGGAUGCAAGCGUUAUCCGGAUUUAUUGGGUUUAAAGGGUGCGUAGGCGGCACGCCAAGUCAGCGGUGAAAUUUCCGGGCUCAACCCGGACUGUGCCGUUGAAACUGGCGAGCUAGAGUACACAAGAGGCAGGCGGAAUGCGUGGUGUAGCGGUGAAAUGCAUAGAUAUCACGCAGAACCCCGAUUGCGAAGGCAGCCUGCUAGGGUGAAACAGACGCUGAGGCACGAAAGCGUGGGUAUCGAACAGGAUUAGAUACCCUGGUAGUCCACGCAGUAAACGAUGAAUACUAACUGUUUGCGAUACAAUGUAAGCGGUACAGCGAAAGCGUUAAGUAUUCCACCUGGGGAGUACGCCGGCAACGGUGAAACUCAAAGGAAUUGACGGGGGCCCGCACAAGCGGAGGAACAUGUGGUUUAAUUCGAUGAUACGCGAGGAACCUUACCCGGGCUCAAACGCAGGGGGAAUGUCGGUGAAAGCCGGCAGCUAGUAAUAGUCACCUGCGAGGUGCUGCAUGGUUGUCGUCAGCUCGUGCCGUGAGGUGUCGGCUUAAGUGCCAUAACGAGCGCAACCCCUAUGGACAGUUACUAACGGGUGAAGCCGAGGACUCUGUCUAGACUGCCGGCGCAAGCCGCGAGGAAGGUGGGGAUGACGUCAAAUCAGCACGGCCCUUACGUCCGGGGCGACACACGUGUUACAAUGGCAGGUACAGAAGGCAGCCAGUCAGCAAUGACGCGCGAAUCCCGAAAACCUGUCUCAGUUCGGAUUGGAGUCUGCAACCCGACUCCAUGAAGCUGGAUUCGCUAGUAAUCGCGCAUCAGCCAUGGCGCGGUGAAUACGUUCCCGGGCCUUGUACACACCGCCCGUCAAGCCAUGGAAGCCGGGAGUACCUGAAGCAUGCAACCGCAAGGAGCGUACGAAGGUAAUACCGGUAACUGGGGCUAAGUCGUAACAAGGUAGCCGUACCGGAAGGUGCGGCUG